UUUCCGUAGGUGAACCUGCGGAAGGAUCAUUAAAAAAUUGGACUCCAUUGGUGAGUUCAUUAAUAAUCCUACCCUUUGUGAAUUUGUUUGUUUGAAUAAUUUUUUUUCCAAAAAAAAUUAUUGAAUGUCUUCCCUGUUUUGGUGGAGCUUGUAAAGUGAAACCAGGCAGGGGAAUGGCAAACAAUAAUUAUUUUUGAAAAAGACCUUUUUUAAAAUUAAACUUUUUGUAUUCAUUUGUCUAAAAUUAUUUUUAUAAUAUAAAACAACUUUUGACAAUGGAUCUCUUGGUUCUCGCAACGAUGAAGAACGCAGCAAAAUGCGAUAAGUAGUGUGAAUUGCAGAAUACGUGAAUCAUCGAAUCUUCGAACGCAUAUUGCACUUUUUUAGUUUACUAAAAAGUAUGUCUGUUUGAGUAUCAGUAAAAUAUUCUCAUAAAAAAUUUAUUUUUUAUGGUUAUGAGUGUUUUACAACGAUAACAAGCUGUUUCACUUUAAAUUCUUUGUUAUCAAAAAAAUCAUUAAAAGCUAAUUUUAAAGAUUUUUUAAAAUUGGAUAAAAUUUUCCCGUAAAAAGGAAUAACCUAAACAAUUUUAAAAAAUUAAAAUUGGUUUGAUUUUUCUUGAUUUAAAAAGGAAAAAAAGUAAAAAUUAACUUGAUCUCAAAUCAGAUAAGAGUACCGCUGAACUUAAGCAUAUCAAUAAGCGGAGGAAAAGAAACUAACUAGGAUUCCCUCAGUAACGGCGAGUGAAGCGGGAAGAGCUCAAUUUGAAAUCUUCAAGGUUUUACCUUGACGAAUUGUAGUUUAAAGAAGUGUUUUCUGUUGGAGUUUUGGUAAAAGUUCUUUGGAAAAGGACAUCAUAGAGGGUGAGAAUCCCGUAUUUGACCAUUAUCUCCAGCUUUGUGAUACACUUUCAAAGAGUCGGAUUGUUUGGGAAUGCAGUCCAAAAUGGGUGGUAAAUUUCAUCUAAAGCUAAAUACUGGCGAGAGACCGAUAGCGAACAAGUACCGUGAGGGAAAGAUGAAAAGAACUUUGAAAAGAGAGUUAAACAGUACGUGAAAUUGUCAAAAGGGAAGCGUUUGACACCAGUGUUGUUUUCUCGAAAAUCAAUUAAAAAAGGCCGGAUUUUGUGUUGUAUUGACUUUAUCAGCUUUCUGCACUUUUUUCUUGUCUUUUUUAAUGCACUUUUCGUUUAACAAGUCAACAUCAAUUUCUUUUGUUGUAAAAGGGUCAUUGGAAGGUGGCUUUCUUUUCGGAGAAAGUGUUUAUAGCCUUUGGCCUCUGCAAUCGGAGAGAUUGAGGUCUGCAGCGUAGAUCCUUCGGGGUUAGAUACAUUUGUGCUAAGUUAUAGCCUUUCAUAGACAACUUGUUGACUAUGAUCAGUCAUGUAGCUUACUCGCUUAUGCUAUUUUACCUACGCUUAGGAUGUUG
rnacentral:misc_RNA from 1 species